rnacentral:rRNA from 1 species
AGAGUUUGAUCCUGGCUCAGGAUGAACGCUGGCGGCGUGCCUAACACAUGCAAGUCGAACGGAGAUUACAGACGGAAGUUUUCGGAUGGAAGACUGUAAUUCUUAGUGGCGGACGGGUGAGUAACGCGUGGGCAACCUGCCCUAUACAGGGGGAUAGCAGCUGGAAACGGCUGGUAAGACCGCAUAAGUCGGUUAAAUCGCAUGAUUUGAUCGGGAAAUGAGCAAUCAGGUAUAGGAUGGGCCCGCGUCCGAUUAGCCAGUUGGCAGGGUAAAAGCCUACCAAAGCAACGAUCGGUAGCCGGACUGAGAGGUCGGACGGCCACAUUGGGACUGAGACACGGCCCAAACUCCUACGGGAGGCAGCAGUGGGGGAUAUUGCACAAUGGAGGAAACUCUGAUGCAGCGACGCCGCGUGAGUGAAGAAGUAUUUCGGUAUGUAAAGCUCUAUCAGCAGGGAAGAUGAUGACGGUACCUGACUAAGAAGCCCCGGCUAACUACGUGCCAGCAGCCGCGGUAAUACGUAGGGGGCAAGCGUUAUCCGGAUUUACUGGGUGUAAAGGGAGCGCAGGCGGUUUUGCAAGUUGAGAGUGGAAGCAGGGGGCUCAACCCCCUGACUGCUCCCAAAACUGUAGGACUUGAGUAUGGGAGAGGCAGGCGGAAUUCCUAGUGUAGCGGUGAAAUGCUUAGAUAUUAGGAAGAACACCGGUGGCGAAGGCGGCCUGCUGGACCAAAACUGACGCUGAGGCUCGAAAGCGUGGGUAGCAAACAGGAUUAGAUACCCUGGUAGUCCACGCUGUAAACGAUGAAUACUAGGUGCUGGGAGGCAUAAGCUUUUCGGUGCCGUCGCAAACGCAUUAAGUAUUCCACCUGGGGAGUACGUUCGCAAGAAUGAAAC